GCCUGGGUGGCUCAGUCGGUUGAGCAUCUGACUUCGGCUCAGGUCAUGACCUCGCAAUCUGUGGGUUUGAGCCCUGUGUCAGGCU
rnacentral:tRNA from 1 species